GACGAACGCUGGCGGCGUGCUUAACACAUGCAAGUCGAACGGAAAGGCCCUGCUUUUGUGGGGUGCUCGAGUGGCGAACGGGUGAGUAACACGUGAGUAACCUGCCCUUGACUUUGCGAUAACUUCAGGAAACUGGGGCUAAUACCGGAUAGGAGCUCCUGCUGCAUGGUGGGGGUUGGAAAGUUUCGGCGGUUGGGGAUGGACUCGCGGCUUAUCAGCUUGUUGGUGGGGUAGUGGCUUACCAAGGCUUUGACGGGUAGCCGGCCUGAGAGGGUGACCGGCCACAUUGGGACUGAGAUACGGCCCAGACUCCUACGGGAGGCAGCAGUGGGGAAUAUUGCACAAUGGGCGGAAGCCUGAUGCAGCAACGCCGCGUGCGGGAUGACGGCCUUCGGGUUGUAAACCGCUUUCGCCUGUGACGAAGCGUGAGUGACGGUAAUGGGUAAAGAAGCACCGGCUAACUACGUG
rnacentral:rRNA from 1 species